rnacentral:rRNA from 1 species
UACGUGAGGGGGCAAGCGUUGUCCGGAAUUAUUGGGCGUAAAGAGCGACGUAGGCGGUCCGAUAAGUCGGCUGUGAAAGUCAGGGGCUCAACCCUUGAAAGCCGGCCGAUACUGUCCGGACUAGAGUCCGGAAGAGGCAAGUGGAAUUCCCGGUGUAGCGGUGAAAUGCGCAGAUAUCGGGAGGAACACCAAUGGCGAAGGCAGCUUGCUGGGACGGUACGUGACGCGUGAGGCGCGAAAGCGUGGGGAGCAAACAGGGAUUAAGAAACCCUGGGUAGUC